UAUCACAGAAUUGAUGCAGCGAGC
rnacentral:miRNA from 2 species